rnacentral:rRNA from 1 species
UACGGAGGGUGCAAGCGUUAUCCGGAUUCACUGGGCGUAAAGGGUGCGUAGGUGGUCGGUAAGUCUGAUGUGAAGCUCUGGGCUCCAACCAGAAAUGGCAUUGGAUACUAUCUGGCUAGAGGAAUGGAGGGGGACUGGAAUACUUGGUGUAGCAGUGAAAUGCGUAGAUAUCAAGUGGAACACCGUGGCGAAGGCGAGUCCCUGGACAUUCCUGACACUGAGGCACGAAAGCUAGGGGAGCAAACAGG